AUAUUGCACAAUGGGCGAAAGCCUGAUGCAGCAACGCCGCGGGAGCGAUGAAGGCCUUCGGGGCGUAAAGCUCUGGCCUCAAGGAAGAUAAUGACGGUACUUGAGUAGGAAGCCCCGGCUAACUACGUGCCAGCAGCCGCGGUAAUACGUAGGGGGCUAGCGUUAGCCGGAAUUACUGGGCGUAAAGGGUGCGUAGGUGGUUUCUUAAGUCAGAGGUGAAAGGCUACGGCUCAACCGUAGUAAGCCUUUGAAACUGGGAAACUUGAGUGCAGGAGAGGAGAGUGGAAUUCCUAGUGUAGCGGUGAAAUGCGUAGAUAUUAGGAGGAACACCAGUUGCGAAGGCGGCUCUCUGGACUGUAACUGACACUGAGGCACGAAAGCGUGGGGAGCAAACAGG
rnacentral:rRNA from 1 species